UACGUAGGGUGCAAGCGUUGUCCGGAAUUAUUGGGCGUAAAGGGCUCGUAGGCGGUCCAUCGCGUCGGGAGUGAAAAGCUGGGGCUUAACCCCAGUCCUGCUUCCGAUACGGGUGGACUAGAGGUAGGCAGGGGAGAACGGAAUUCCUGGUGUAGCGGUGAAAUGCGUAGAUAUCUGGAGGAACACCGGUGGCGAAGGCGGCAUCCUGGACCGACACUGACGCUGAGGAGCGAAAGCCAGGGGAGCAAACGGG
rnacentral:rRNA from 1 species